rnacentral:miRNA from 1 species
GCCAAUCUACAGCAGACCCUCCCUCCCAGACCCUCCUACUUCCUGGACAGCAUCCAUGUUGAAGGCAGCUUCAACAUGAUUGCUGUCCAGGAGGUGGGAGGGUCUGGGAGGGAGGGUCUGCUGGACAUUGGCC